rnacentral:rRNA from 1 species
AUGGCCAACCCGAUGUACGGCUCCGGGCCGCUUCGAUCCAGGAACGCGCCGAGCUCGGACGAGAUCCAGCUGCGGAUCGACCCGGUGCAUGGCGAUCUUGACGAGGAGAUCGAUGGGCUGCACUCGAGGGUUCGCAUGUUGAAAGGCGUCGCCCAAGAGAUAAACUCCGAGGCCAAGUUCCAGAAUGAUUUCCUCAACCAACUGCAACUGACCCUUACGAAAGCUCAGGCUGGAGUGAAGAAUAACAUGCGAAGGAUGAACAAAAGCAUCAUCCAGCAGGGCUCCAAUCAUAUUGUCCAUGUUGUCCUAUUUGCUCUGUUGUGCUUCUUUGUUGUCUAUCUUUUGUCAAAGUUCUCUAGAAGAUAG